rnacentral:lncRNA from 1 species
AUGCUGUGGUGGACAUCCCCAAACAUUCAUGAGUUCAGGUUGCAAUUUUUCCGAUCCAAUUAUAUCCUAUAUUCUUACAGUCAAACUCGUCCAGCUUCAUCUCUCACUGGUCCUCUCUGCACAAUGUCCUGUUCGGGCUUCAAAGCUCCAGCAAACACAGUCUGUUUCUUCUCUUUUUCUUCUCCAGUCUUCUCUUCCAAAAUUACUUCAAGCAUGGCAAAUAUGACACUCAAUGUCCAGUGCUCUUCCACAAUUCUUUAUCCCACUGUUCAACUGUCCAGCCUGUAUUUUCACAGUACAUGUUGCAUUACUCUUACAUGCUGCUGCUGCACUCAAGGAUCAGUGUUGAGAGAGUCCACCUGUAUUGGCACACUAAAGCAUACAAUUAGUAUUAUACUCAUUUCUUUUCUUAAAGGCUUCAUUUGCUUUAUGUGUCUAGAGGUAACUCAUCUAUCGCUCUGUGUUCUUCCUUUGCACAGUCAGUUCCCAUAUAUGGGCAUGCAAAGUUCCUGUUCACAGUUUCCUGUCGCACAGCCGCUGUACACAGAGUCAUACUUCCUGUUCUCGGCAGAGUCUGUCUCUUUUUGUAUUUCUAGUCUAAAACCCUCUUUAAUUCUACUAAAUCUUGAUCUAAAAAACAAUACACCUUCAUUUUCACUCACACACAUUUAAACAGAGCUCUUUCACACAUCCAAACAAUUAACCAAGUGUAUAUACUUAUGUGUUUUUGAACUGAGAGAAAAGAAACUCACCCUCUCAUAUCAUCACUCAUGCAUUUCUUGAAUUAAAAGCACUUUCAAACUUUAGAACAUCCUACUUUACAUCACAAAAGAAAUAUCCUUUUCAUACCAUUGUUUCAUACACACUUUUAAAGGUUCUAACCUCUUUCAGACGCCAUGAAUCGUCUCACACACACUGCCUUUUCUCUCACUCAGACAACUCACGCAGAGUCACUCAAAUCAAAUACUGACAGCAUUCACACAGUUAAAAUCACACGAAAUACGCUUCCAUACGAGUAUUUUAGACAUGCCUUCCAUGAUCAGAAAGAGCAAGUCAAAAGAAAAAGAAAAACUGAAACCUCUCAUCAUCCUCACGGCUUCUCACCACACACACCUAACUGAAAAAUAAAACACACCAGCAUUUAGGGCUCAAGAUAUAUACAUCUAUCAAAAUUCAGUCAUUACCAUACAUCCACACUAAUGUAUUAUUAAUUACUGUAUUUAUACUCUCGUAAUAAGCAACACCAACCUCUUAUAUACAGGCAUUCAGCAGUUUUUUUUUUUAAACAAUAGUUAAAAGGCUCCGUACACUCGAAACCGAAACCACCCUCUCUUCGCGUCACCGCUGCUCAUUUGCAUUUACACACACCAUCAGUGCACAUCCGGCUGUGCACUGACACACAGAGACUGAUCUCAUACAUAGAUCUCAUAUUAUUAUAUUUACACAAGACGUCUUAUUAAUUACCACUGCACAGAUUUAGGCCUUUAAAACCUAUAUAAUUUUGAUAAAUUUAACAUAACCGACUCGAACGGGCAAACUUCAGGUUUUUUGCGAUCAAUUCACCAGACCAGACUCGAACUGCUCUGUCCAGAUUUUCUAGCCCUAACUUAAUUUACCAGUAGCCAAAAAAGCGCAAGAAUAGGGGACUUGAACCCCUAGCAAUUUCGGAGUUUCCCAACUUCUCCCCCGCUGUCGACGGUACUAUCCCUACACUUCAGGGUAGGUCAUAGGUCAGCGUCCUGCCUAUGCGCAAGCGUUACCAAGGAGAAAAAUGCGCUUCUUAACAGACGCCGCUGUCGUUCUAGAAGAAUUUAGAGUAAUUUGAAACAACAAUCCUACCCAAAACAGGAUUAAGAUUGAGGCAGAUCUACCUUUGUGGACAUAGGGGACUCGAACCCACAAAAUGACCAUCACAAGAUAGACCCAAUGUCCAGCGGGACUUGAACCCACAAAAAUGACCAAAUUUCCCUACUUUCUACGUGAGACUUGAACUCACUUUAACUCUUUUCCUUUUCUUUGGGACUUGAACCCAGUACUUUUACUUAUCACUUAUCAUCAUCAUCAUCAUUCAUAUCAUUACUUCAACCGGUAAACCUCAUAAAAAUUUCAGCAAACUCAAAACAGACAUUCACCAGUAAUUUUCAGUGAGUAGACUUCAAUUUUGUCAUAUCCAAUUCUAGCACAUUUUGGAAAUUCAACAGGUAUGUGCCUUACCUCUGUUUAAGCCGGCUUGUCUCUCACUUCAGACCACUGACUCGUAUCUGCCCAUCUAAUCACCACGGACCCUGGAUCUCUCCAUCUACACCAAAAUUCCCUCUUUCCGAACUGAACUUACAACAAUUACACAAGGUUUUAUAUGGAUACAACAACAAAGCCCCCCUCUUUUGCAAAACAUACAAAGUACAGCUUACGUCACUUAAACCACAAAAUGUUCCGUGAACUUUAACAUAGUUUGAAGAACAUUACGUCUCAUCUCCAUCCCGGUGUUGCCCCAGGUACGCAUCCUUAUCUCUUCAAAACAUCAGGCGCACUUCCCGUAAGCAUCUGACAAUAUGCGGCAGAACUUGCACUUGCAGCCAAAAAUACAUCUUGACUUUUUACCUACUCUAGUCGAUCUACUAUGGUGUGUACGUGUGUGCGUGAGUGUGUGUGUGCCUGCUGUGUAGGCUAUGUCUGUGUCAUGACCUCAGCUCACCUCACACCUCUCGUCUUAGCCAGACAGAAGGCCUGUGCUCGUGCACAGCUGAACUCUGUGUGAUUUCUAGGCUAAAUGUCACACUCAAACCAUGAAGGAAACUUACUCAACCUGAACAUAAAUGAACUUAAGACUUACUCAAAAAGAUAUAAGUAAUAAAUGAUACAAACUUAACUCUUAGCUCUAAAGAAUAUAAGGAUAUAACUCCAGGCACCUGUUCUGUAAGCAGACAUGAAAUGGUAAUGAUGAUUAUAAAAAUAGCAGCAAAUAAUAGCAGUAAAAUAUUUCUAUUCCUGACAACUCUCAGGUUGGUAAUAAAUGUAUUACAUGUAUAAGAACAAGUGUCAUGUUAACAAAUGAUAGCCGUACAGUAACUUUUAUGCUUUUUGUAGCUGCUAGCUAAAAACACUAAUUUAGCUUAGUUUGCCCUGGAUUCAGCUUUGACAAACAAAUAUGAUCGCCUGUUUCUAGUAGAAAUCCAAAGUUGUCAUCUUGUACCGUCUCAGAGCCCUGUAUGCUUGCAGAGACCCCUACAGUAGGGAAACAUGCAAAACGGUGUCCAAACCUUUUUAUUUUAGCUUUAUUUAUGUCUUACACAGCAUCCCAACUCUUUAGCUAACUUAAUAACUUUAGCUAAAGAGAAUAGUUAGUCUAAUUCAUUAGUGCAGGAUUACUAGAUGACCUCUGUUUGAAGUAAUAUA